UUCGGAUUGGAGUCUGNAACCCGACUCCACGAAGUUGGAUUCGCUAGUAAUCGCGCAUCAGCCAUGGCGCGGUGAAUACGUUCCCGGGCCUUGUACACACCGCCCGUCAAGCCAUGGGAGCCGGGGGCGCCUGAAGUCCGGGACCGCGAGGACCGGCCUAAGGCGAAACUGGUGACUGGGCUAAGUCGUAACAAGGUAAC
rnacentral:rRNA from 1 species